UAUAUACUCCAUCCGUUCCAAAUUACUUGACGUUCAUUUGUCUAGAUACGGAUGUAUCUAUACUUGUUUAGCGUCUAGAUACAUCCGUGUCUAGACAAAUAGAGGUCAAGUAAUUUGGAACGGAUGGAGCGUCUA
rfam:Triticum aestivum genome assembly, contig: Triticum_aestivum_CS42_TGACv1_scaffold_049845_1BS